AUUGAACGCUGGCGGCAUGCUUUACACAUGCAAGUCGAACGGUAACAGGGUGCUUGCACCGCUGACGAGUGGCGAACGGGUGAGUAAUGCGUCGGAACGUGCCGAGUAGUGGGGGAUAACGCAUCGAAUGGUGUGCUAAUACCGCAUACGUACUGAGAUAGAAAGUGGGGGACCUUCGGGCCUCACGCUAUUCGAGCGGCCGACGUCUGAUUAGCUAGUGGGUGAGGUAAAGGCUCACAAAGGCGACGAUCAGUAGCGGGUCUGAGAGGAUGAUCCGACACACUGGGACGGAGACACGGCCCAGACUCCGACGGGAGGCAGCAGUGGGGAAUUUUGGACAAUGGGCGCAAGCCUGAUCCAGCCAUGCCGCGUGUCUGAAGAAGGCCUUCGGGUUGUAAAGGACUUUUGUCCGGGAGCAAAUGCCUGGUGUUAAUAGCACUGGGAGCUGAGAGUACCGGAAGAAUAAGCACCGGCUAACUACGUGCCAGCAGCCGCCGUAAUAC
rnacentral:rRNA from 1 species